AUUGAACGCUGGCGGCAUGCUUUACACAUGCAAGUCGAACGGUAACAGGGAGCUUGCUCCGCUGACGAGUGGCGAACGGGUGAGUAAUAUAUCGGAACGUACCCAAGAGUGGGGGAUAACGUAGCGAAAGUUACGCUAAUACCGCAUACGAUCCAAGGAUGAAAGUGGGGGACCGCAAGGCCUCAUGCUCCUGGAGCGGCCGAUAUCUGAUUAGCUAGUUGGUGAGGUAAAGGCUCACCAAGGCAACGAUCAGUAGCUGGUCUGAGAGGACGACCAGCCACACUGGGACUGAGACACGGCCCAGACUCCUACGGGAGGCAGCAGUGGGGAAUUUUGGACAAUGGGGGCAACCCUGAUCCAGCAAUGCCGCGUGGGUGAAGAAGGCCUUCGGGUUGUAAAGCUCUUUUGUCAGGGAAGAAACGGGUGUGGCUAAUAUCCAUAUCUAAUGACGGUACCUGAAGAAUAAGCACCGGCUAACUUCGUGCCAGCCGCCGCGGUAAAAC
rnacentral:rRNA from 1 species